AGAAUCAACGCUGGCGGCGUGCCUAACACAUGCAAGUCGAACGAGAAAGGGACUUCGGUCCUGAGUACAGUGGCGCACGGGUGAGUAACACGUGACUAACCUACCCUGGAGUGGGGAAUAACUGAGGGAAACCUUAGCUAAUACCGCAUAAUACCUACGGGUCAAAGGAGCAAUUCGCUUAAGGAGGGGGUCGCGGCCGAUUAGUUAGUUGGCGGGGUAAUGGCCCACCAAGACGAUGAUCGGUAUCC
rnacentral:rRNA from 1 species